rnacentral:rRNA from 1 species
GAUGAACGCUGGCGGCGUGCCUAAUACAUGCAAGUCGAGCGAACAGACGAGGAGCUUGCUCCUUUGACGUUAGCGGCGGACGGGUGAGUAACACGUGGAUAACCUACCUAUAAGACUGGGAUAACUUCGGGAAACCGGAGCUAAUACCGGAUAAUAUAUUGAACCGCAUGGUUCAAUAGUGAAAGACGGUUUUGCUGUCACUUAUAGAUGGAUCCGCGCCGCAUUAGCUAGUUGGUAAGGUAACGGCUUACCAAGGCAACGAUGCGUAGCCGACCUGAGAGGGUGAUCGGCCACACUGGAACUGAGACACGGUCCAGACUCCUACGGGAGGCAGCAGUAGGGAAUCUUCCGCAAUGGGCGAAAGCCUGACGGAGCAACGCCGCGUGAGUGAUGAAGGUCUUCGGAUCGUAAAGCUCUGUUAUUAGGGAAGAACAGAUGUGUGAGUAACUAUGCACGUCUUGACGGUACCUAAUCAGAAAGCCACGGCUAACUACGUG